GAUGAACGCUGGCGGCGUGCCUAAUACAUGCAAGUCGAGCGAACGGACGAGAAGCUUGCUUCUCUGAUGUUAGCGGAGGACGGGUGAGUAACACGUGGAUAACCUCCCUAUAAGACUGGGAUAACUUCGGGACACCGGAGCUAAUACCAGAUAAUAUUUUGAACCGCAUGGUUCAAUAGUGAAAGACGGUCUUGCUGUCACUUCUCGAUGGUUCUCGGCUGCAUUAGCUAGUUGGUAAGGUAACGGCUUACCAAGGCAACGAUGCAUAGCCGACCUGAGAGGGUGAUCGGCCACACGGGAGCUGAGACACGGUCCAGACUCCUACGGGAGGCAGCAGUAGGGAAUCUGCCGCAGUGGGCGAAAGCCUGGCGGAGCAACGCCGCGUGAGUGAUGAAGGUCUUCGGAUCGUAAAACUCUGUUAUUAGGGAAGAACAGAUGUGUAAGUAACUGUGCACAGCUUGACGGUACCUAAUCAGAAAGCCACGGCUAACUACGUG
rnacentral:rRNA from 1 species